UGCAUAUCAAAAAGCGGAGGAAAAGAAACCAACAGGGAUUGCCCUAGUAACGGCGAGUGAACAGGCAAGAGCUCAGAUUUGAAAGGCACUUUUGUGCCGUUGUAUUCUGAAGUUAGGGUCCUGAGAAACGAUGCUUAAGUCUUCUGGAAAGGAGCGCCAUGGAGGGUGAUAGCCCCGUCUAGCAUUGACCUCAUAUAGGAUCUUAACAUGGAGUCGAGUUGUUUGGGAAUGCAGCUCAAAUGGGUGGUAUGCUCCAUCUAAAGCUAAAUAUCUGCGAGAGACCGAUAGUAAACAAGUACUGUGAGGGAAAGAUGAAAAGAACUUUGAAAAGAGAGUGAAAAAGUACGUGAAAUUGUUGAAAUGGAAGGGUAGGCCGCUAACCAUGUAGAGCCGUGUUUGGGGGGAAGAUAAAUGCUGUAGAAUGUAGCUCCUCGGAGUAUUAUAGAUGCAGUUCAUAUUCCCACCCGAGCGCGAGGAUCUCAGGUUCUACUAAAUGGUGGUCUACCACCCGUCUUGAACCACGGACACA
rnacentral:rRNA from 1 species